AUACGGAGGGUGCAAGCGUUACUCGGAAUCACUGGGCGUAAAGGGUGCGUAGGCUGACUUUUUAAGUCAGGCGUGAAAUCCAAUGGCUUAACCAUUGAACUGCGCUUGAAACUGGGAGUCUAGAGUUCAGAAGGGGCAGAUGGAAUUAGUGGUGUAGGGGUAAAAUCCGUAGAUAUCACUAGGAAUAUCAAAAGCGAAGGCGAUCUGCUGGGAUGAUACUGACGCUGAGGCACGAAAGCGUGGGGAGC
rnacentral:rRNA from 1 species